rnacentral:misc_RNA from 1 species
CAAUGAGUGUUUAAUGGCACUUUAAAUCCAUUACCCACCUUGUGUGCACUGUAGGGAGAGGCAGAACGGUUGCGCUACACAUGUGCGCUGCCUGCCUCUUUCAUUAUACACAUACUAUCUUCUUUCUCGUCUACUUCAAUUGAGUAUAAAACUCUAAUA